rnacentral:rRNA from 1 species
AAAACUGCGGCAGGCUUAACACAUGCAAGUCGAGCGCCCCGCAAGGGGAGCGGCAGACGGGUGAGUAACGCGUGGGAAUCUACCCUUUUCUACGGAAUAACGCAGGGAAACUUGUGCUAAUACCGUAUGAGCCCUUCGGGGGAAAGAUUUAUCGGGAAAGGAUGAGCCCGCGUUGGAUUAGCUAGUUGGUUGGGUAAAGGCCUACCAAGGCGACGAUCCAUAGCUGGUCUGAGAGGAUGAUCAGCCACAUUGGGACUGAGACACGGCCCAAACUCCUACGGGAGGCAGCAGUGGGGAAUAUUGGACAAUGGGCGCAAGCCUGAUCCAGCCAUGCCGCGUGAGUGAUGAAGGCCCUAGGGUUGUAAAGCUCUUACACCGGUGAAGAUAAUGACGGUAACCGGAGAAGAAGCCCCGGCUAACUUCGUGCCAGCAGCCGCGGUAAUACGAAGGGGGCUAGCGUUGUUCGGAAUUACUGGGCGUAAAGCGCACGUAGGCGGAUUGUUAAGUGAGGGGUGAAAUCCCAGGGCUCAACCCUGGAACUGCCUUUCAUACUGGCAAUCUAGAGUCCAGAAGAGGUGAGUGGAAUUCCGAGUGUAGAGGUGAAAUUCGUAGAUAUUCGGAGGAACACCAGUGGCGAAGGCGGCUCACUGGUCUGGAACUGACGCUGAGGUGCGAAAGCGUGGAGAGCAAACAGGAUUAGAUACCCUGGUAGUCCACGCCGUACACGAUGAAUGUUAGCCGUCGGGCAGUUUACUGUUCGGUGGCGCAGCUAACGCAUUAAACAUUCCGCCUGGGG